rnacentral:rRNA from 1 species
CGGGGAAUAUUGGACAAUGGGCGAAAGCCUGAUCCAGCAAUGCCGCGUGAGUGAUGAAGGCCUUAGGGUUGUAAAGCUCUUUUACCAGGGAUGAUAAUGACAGUACCUGGAGAAUAAGCUCCGGCUAACUCCGUGCCAGCAGCCGCGGUAAUACGGAGGGAGCUAGCGUUGUUCGGAAUUACUGGGCGUAAAGCGUGCGUAGGCGGCCAUUCAAGUCAGAGGUGAAAGCCUGGAGCUCAACUCCAGAACUGCCUUUGAAACUAGAUGGCUAGAAUCUUGGAGAGGUGAGUGGAAUUCCGAGUGUAGAGGUGAAAUUCGUAGAUAUUCGGAAGAACACCAGUGGCGAAGGCGACUCACUGGACAAGUAUUGACGCUGAGGUACGAAAGCGUGGGGAGCAAACAGGAUUAGAUACCCAUGUAGUCCCUGAGCGGGCUGGCAAGGCGCAU